rnacentral:rRNA from 1 species
GACAUAGGUAGUAUGGGGUAGAGAAAUUUACUCCUUCAGUUCGGCUGGUUACCAUACAGGUGUAGCAUGGCUGUCGUCAGCUCCUGUCGUGAGAUGUUGGGUUAAGUCCCGCAACGAGCGCAACCCUCAUCCCUUACUGCCAUCAGGUUAUGCUGGGCACUUCAGGGAAACUGCCGGUGUCAAGCCGGAUGAAGGCGGGGAUGACGUCAAGUCAUCAUGGCCCUUACGGCCUGGGCUACACACGUGCUACAAUGGCGGUGACAAUGCGCAGCUAACCCGCGAGGGCAAGCUAAUCGCUAAAAACCGUCUCAGUUCGGAUUGGACUCUGCAACUCGAGUCCAUGAAGCUGGAAUCGCUAGUAAUCGUAGAUCAGCACGCUACGGUGAAUACGUUCCCGGGUCUUGUACACACCGCCCGUCACACCAUGGAAGUCGGUUCUGCCUGAAGUCGCUUAUGGCGCCCACGGCAGGGUCGGUGACUGGGGUGAAGUCGUAACAA